AUGCCAAAAGUCACCACAGAACUUCAUAAGCCAAAAGCAGUACAUGAAAAGAAAGAAGGCAGACCAUUGAAGGCGGUGGAACCAGAGAAAACAAAACCAAAAGAAACAAAACAUGUCAAAGAAAAAGAAGCAAAGCAUGAUGUGGCAGUGAAGGACAAAGCCAUGAUAGAAGUUCAUAAGCCAAAAGCCACCACAGAAGUUCAUAAGCCAAAAGAUGCCCCAAAAGAAAAAGUGAAGCCUCCAACUCCUGCCAAAGGAAAGGAUAUUCCAAAAGAAAAAGUGAAGCCUCCAGCUCCUGCCAAAGUAAAGGAUGUACCAAAAGAAAAAGUGAAGCCUCCAGCUCCUACCAAAGAAAAGGAUGUGCCAAAAGAAAAAUUGAAGCCUCCGGCUCCUACCAAAGGAAAGGAUGCACCAAAAGAAAAAGUGAAGCCUCCAGUUCCUGCCAAAGAAAAGGAUAUGCCAAAAGAAAAAGCAAAGCCCCCAGCUCCCACCAAAGAAAAGGCUGCACCAAAAGAAAAAGUUAAGCCUUCAGCUCCUAUCAAAGAAAAGGAUGCUCCAAAAGAAAAAGUGAAGCCUCCAGCUCCUGCCAAAGCAAAGGAUACCCCAAAAGAAAAAGUGAAGCCUCCAGCUCCUGCCAAAGAAAAAGAGGCCACAAAACCAAAGGAAGAACAUCCUCCCAUUCCCCAGAAGCAGAAAGGACAGGAGGCUGUUAAGCACGACAAAGAAGUUCUUCACAAAAAAACAGCCAAGCCCAAAGAAACUGCAAAGCCAUCUGCUGAAAAAACAGUAACAGACAAGAAGAAAGCAGAAAAAGCACAGAAGGAGAAAGAUGGUGAGGGCUGGAAAUAUUUUAUCAAUGCAUUAAAAAAUUGA
rnacentral:lncRNA from 1 species